AGAGUUUGAUCAUGGCUCAGAUUGAACGCUGGCGGCAGGCCUAACACAUGCAAGUCGAGCGGUAGCACAAGAGAGCUUGCUCUCUGGGUGACGAGCGGCGGACGGGUGAGUAAUGUCUGGGAAACUGCCUGAUGGAGGGGGAUAACUACUGGAAACGGUAGCUAAUACCGCAUAACGUCUUCGGACCAAAGUGGGGGACCUUCGGGCCUCACGCCAUCAGAUGUGCCCAGAUGGGAUUAGCUAGUAGGUGGGGUAAUGGCUCACCUAGGCGUCGAUCCCUAGCUGGUCUGAGAGGAUGACCAGCCACACUGGAACUGAGACACGGUCCAGACUCCUACGGGAGGCAGCAGUGGGGAAUAUUGCACAAUGGGCGCAAGCCUGAUGCAGCCAUGCCGCGUGUGUGAAGAAGGCCUUCGGGUUGUAAAGCACUUUCAGCGAGGAGGAAGGGUAGUGUGUUAAUAGCACAUUGCAUUGACGUUACUCGCAGAAGAAGCACCGGCUAACUCCGUGCCAGCAGCCGCGGUAAUACGGAGGGUGCAAGCGUUAAUCGGAAUUACUGGGCGUAAAGCGCACGCAGGCGGUUUGUUAAGUCAGAUGUGAAAUCCCCGCGCUUAACGUGGGAACUGCAUUUGAAACUGGCAAGCUAGAGUCUUGUAGAGGGGGGUAGAAUUCCAGGUGUAGCGGUGAAAUGCGUAGAGAUCUGGAGGAAUACCGGUGGCGAAGGCGGCCCCCUGGACAAAGACUGACGCUCAGGUGCGAAAGCGUGGGGAGCAAACAGGAUUAGAUACCCCGGUAGUCCAA
rnacentral:rRNA from 1 species